rnacentral:rRNA from 1 species
UAAUACGGAGGGGACUAGCGUUGUUCGGAAUUACUGGGCGUAAAGCGCACGUAGGCGGAUUUGUAAGUCAGGGGUGAAAUCCCGGGGCUCAACCUCGGAACUGCCUUUGAUACUGCAAAUCUCGAGUCCGGAAGAGGUGAGUGGAAUUCCUAGUGUAGAGGUGAAAUUCGUAGAUAUUAGGAAGAACACCAGUGGCGAAGGCGGCUCACUGGUCCGGUACUGACGCUGAGGUGCGAAAGCGUGGGGAGCAAACAGGA